rnacentral:rRNA from 1 species
AUGAGCAGCCCCCGCCGCCGCCGCCGCCCCUCGCCGGCGGCGGUGCCGCCGCUGGAGGACGAAGACCUCCUCUCCGAGAUCCUCCUCCGCCUCCCCCCACAGCCGUCCUCCCUCCCCCGCGCCUCCCUCGUCUGCAAGCGCUGGCGCGGCCUCGUCUCCGAUCCAGGCUUCUGCCGCAGGUUCCGCCGCCGCCACCGCCGCAACCCUCCCCUCCUCGGUUUCUUCCAAGUAGACGACGGGCUCUCCUUCAUGCCUUCCCUCAAGGCCCCGGAUCGUGUCUCGCCCGAGCGCUUCUCCUUGCAACACCAAGAUUUGGUCGACCGCUUCUUCUCCCUUGGAUGCCGCCAUGGCCUGGCGCUCAUCUACCUUCGCAAGCGUCUCCAGCUCCUUGUGUGGGACCCCGUCACCGGCGACCAGCACCACAUUGCCGUCCCCCCGGGGUUCGACACGGAGACAUCCCCAAUCAGCGGCGCGGUGUUUCGCUCUGCCGGAGACCCUGCUGUGCUGGUUGGGGGUUCUCUUUACUGGUUGCUUGAUGGGAGCUCGGGUGGGAUCCUUGAAUUUGAUAUGGAUCGGCAAAGACUAGCUGUGAUACCUAUGCCAGUAAAUGACCUAAGGUUUUUCCACUUCUCGAUGAUACGGGCAGAUGGUGGUGGAUUUGGUCUCCUCGUUUUAUCAGGCUUCAGUGCCCAAUUCUGGAAGAGAAGGAUCAAUUGCGAUGGUGUUGCUUCAUGGGUGUUGGGAAGAACCAUUGAAAUUGACAAGCUACUUCACUGCGAACCAGAGUUGAAUGGGAGCCAAUUAAUACUAGGUUUUGCUGAGGACAAUAACGUGGUUCUUUUUUGGACAAUUGAUGGCUCUGUCAUGUUACAGCUUGAGUCACUACAGUCUGAGAAAGUCUUGGGAACCAAAAUCAUGGCUCACUAUCACUCAUUCGAAAGUGUCUAUACUACAGAAAGAGGAAUUGGUGGUCCUGAAGCUGAUCUUUUGCACAACACCUGA